CUUUCUGGAUGUUUGAUCCAAUCCAAGGACAAGCCAAGAUGUCUCUACUUGUCGAGCGAGCCUUCCUGUGUCUGGAAGGAUCUCAGAGCCGAGGCUGUGAAGGCCUCUCCUGGGGUUCCAGAGCUGAGCUGGCUCCUAGCAGGACCUGGGGGGCUUUGGGGGGAGAGUUUGUCUUUCUGUUGUCAGGCACAGAACUCAAUGUUUGUCCUUUCAGGCUAUCUGCAUCUCUGUCCUGCCCGUCCUCAUUGGGCGUUGGCCCUAGGACUGGAUUUUUGGCAACUGAAACCAGACAGAUGGAAGGGGAAAGAAGAACUGAAGGGCUGUCGGCAGCCUUAGGAAGAAAGAGGAAAUGGAAGAAGAAAUAAAAGUUUUAAUGGGAAACAAAAGAGCAAGAGGCCAAGGUAUGCAUUGCCCAGCUUCCAUAGUGACAAAUAUGGCAUUGGUCUGGAGAAAGGAAGCUCUGUGGCAGUAUCUGAGAGUGGAUAUGACGUGUGUGCGGAAAGGCACUCCAGUGGAGAUGGAAGUUAACCGUCCCACCAGGAAUCCAGAGAUGGAAAAAUGGAGGCUGAAAGCUUUGCUCAAAAGGCCUAUAUCUUGGAGCUGGUAUUGUGGCCAGAUAGGUUAACCUGC